rnacentral:rRNA from 1 species
AUUGAACGCUAGCGGGAUGCCUUACACAUGCAAGUCGAACGGAGUGGCGAACGGGUGAGUAAUGUAUCGGGACGUGCCCAGUAGCGGGGGAUAACUACGCGAAGGCGUAGCUAAUACCACAUACUAUUGGAGCGGCCGAUAUCGGAUUAGCUGGUUGGUGGGGUAACGGAUGACCUAGGGGCAGAUCCGUAGCUGGUUUGAGAGGACGACCCGCCAAACUGGGACUGAGAAACGGCCCAGACUCCUACGGGAGGCAGCAGUGGGGAAUUUUUGACAAUGGGGGAAACCCUGAUCCAGCCAUCCCGCGUGGGCGAUGAAGGCCUUCGGGUUGGAAAGCACUUUUGGCAGGAAAGCGGGACCUGCAGCAUAAGCACCGGCUAACGACGUGCCAGCAGCCGCGGUAAUAC